UACAGAGGGGGCAAGCGUUAUUCGGAAUUAUUGGGCGUAAAGGGCGCGCAGGCGGCUUUGUUUGUCAGGCGUGAAAGCCCCGGGCUUAACCUGGGAACUGCGUUUGAUACGGCAGGGCUAGAGUUCGGGAGAGGAGAGUGGAAUUCCCAGUGUAGAGGUGAAAUUCGUAGAUAUUGGGAAGAACACCGGUGGCGAAGGCAGCACUCUGGGACGUGACUGACGCUGAGACGCGAAAGCGUGGGGAGCAAACAGG
rnacentral:rRNA from 1 species